UCCCCCAAAACCAAACAAAGUUGCCUCCCGCUCUGUCUGGCAUAAGAAUGAUGCAUGUGGGGACAAAACACAAAUCAGUGAGGUCUGCCUGAGUCAGGGGAGAGAUUCCCAACCCACAUAUAUUCCAGGCUUUGAAUGAACCUUCAGAAUACAGCUGCAGCCACCAUGGAAAUCUGGUAUCAGGAAGGGAAGAUUCUCAGAAUAUUAAAAACAAGUCAUGUAGAGAUCUCCCUGCCUUCCAUUCUCCACUCAAAAUUGAUGUUCAACCUUUCCAACAUCAGCUUUAAGUUGCUAGGAUGACAGCAGCAACAGGACCUGGAUACAGAACAAACAAAGGAAGGGCCUGCCAAAGCCACAGACGUGUGCUCCAGUUGUGGCGGUAAUAUAUGAGGUAUGUA